UCUGUUGUCCAAAACAAAAAGGAAAACUGGAAAUAGCGCACUUCCCAUGGCAAGUAAAUUUGACGGUUGAACCUCAGCCCCAAGCCCUAAUGUGAACUGUGGAGUAGGCUUAAGGGAAAACCGGAUUCCAUCAUAUCGGGAUUUGUGAUUGGAUUUAAUUUGAGGAAGCAUAUAGAUUAGAGUUUUCAGUUUUCUGCUUCAUUUCAUCGGGCGAAGAGGAGAUAAACUCAACUCCUAUGGCCUCACUUCACUUCCUUCUUCGCCCAUCCUCCAAUCCUAAUCCUCUCGCUUUACCCUCCAGAUCUCUACCGGUUCGAUGUGCCAACGAACGCCAGGCGCUGUUUAGCCGCAUUGCUCCUGUUUACGAUAAUGUUUUGAUUUCUCAAGGGAGCUAUUAUCGGUUGCUUCAUUACGACAACACUUGCUCUUAAAAGGCUGCUACAAGAACAUUGAGUGAGCAUUGGUGGAUUGAGGGCGAUGCAAUUGAGUUGCCCUUUUCUGAUUGUUCUUUUGAUGCCAUUACCAUGGGUUAUGGGCUACGAAAUGUGUUAAAUAGAUGCAAAAGAUGUUUCGAGUCUUGAAACCAGGAAUGGAUGAUUAAGAAUGUAGUCGUUCCUGUUGCAACUGGUUAUGGCCUUGCUGAAUAAGUAUGCAUAUUUGAAAAGCCCAGUUCAGGAAUUCUUAACAGGGAAGGAGUUGGAGAAGCUUGCUUUAGAAACAGGAUUUUCCCAUGCCAAACAUUAUGAGAUUGGUGGGGGCAUCAUGGGGAACUUAAUAGCC